AGAGUUUGAUCCUGGCUCAGGACGAACGCUGGCGGCGUUAACACAUGCAAGUCGAGCGGUAAGGCUCCUUCGGGAGUACACGAGCGGCGAACGGGUGAGUAACACGUGAGCAAUCUGCCCUUCACAUCGGGAUAACCCCCGGAAACGGGAGCUAAUACCGGAUACGACCACUUCAGGCAUCUGAUGGUGGUGGAAAGUUCUGGCGGUGAAGGAUGAGCUCGCGGCCUAUCAGCUUGUUGGUGGGGUAAUGGCCCACCAAGGCUUCGACGGGUAGCCGGCCUGAGAGGGUGACCGGCCACACUGGGACUGAGACACGGCCCAGACUCCUACGGGAGGCAGCAGUGGGGAAUAUUGGACAAUGGGCGAAAGCCUGAUCCAGCAACGCCGCGUGAGGGAUGACGGCCUUCGGGUUGUAAACCUCUUUCAGCGCAGACGAAGCGAAAGUGACGGUAUGCGCAGAAGAAGCACCGGCCAACUACGUGCCAGCAGCCGCGGUAAUACGUAGGGUGCGAGCGUUGUCCGGAAUUAUUGGGCGUAAAGGGCUCGUAGGCGGUCUGUUGCGUCAGGAGUGAAAACUCGGGGCUUAACCCCGAGCCUGCUUCUGAUACGGGCAGACUAGAGGUAUGCAGGGGAGAACGGAAUUCCUGGUGUAGCGGUGAAAUGCGCAGAUAUCAGGAGGAACACCGGUGGCGAAGGCGGUUCUCUGGGCAUUACCUGACGCUGAGGAGCGAAAGUGUGGGGAGCGAACAGGAUUAGAUACCCCAGUAGUCC
rnacentral:rRNA from 1 species